AAAAAAAAAAAGACCUAAAGUCAUCCAUGAAUACAUCAAGUUCUUUAGCUUCACCAACUCACAAAACACUUUCCAGUUCAUCUUCUCUUCCUGUUUAUUUAAGUGCAUUCUCUCCUACACUGUGAUUUAAAGAAACUUCCAUUCCAUGUUAUUGUAAUUGAUGCAUAACUGAAUUUUCCUCAGACUGGGGAGCUGGCUUACUGUUCCAGACCAGUGAGAGUUGGCUUACUGUUCCUUGGGGUUCUGUGAAUUCCCUAUGAGAUUAGUAAAGAGAUGUAAGCAUAUGCUGACUCAUGCAGAUGAACAUUUAAAAACUGAAUGGAGCCAUAUGAUUUCACUAUCUGGAGGCUUUAAAAUAUAUUUCAAAUUCUCUAACACCCCUCCCUUCAGCAAGUGGAGUCUCAUUUCCCUUCCCUUAAAAUGCAGGCAGGACUUAGUGACUUGCUUCUAGUGAAUGAUGUGAGACAAAGCGACCUUGCAUGACUUACAAGGCUAGGUUAGAAAAGGUGAUAUGGCUUCCACCUGGCUCUCUGUCGUGGGGCAUGCAUAUGGGAAGCUCUGAGUCAUCAUAGAAGAAAUCCAGCUUUUGUGACACUGCCACGCUAUAGCGACCAAAUGGAGAGACUUUAUAGAGACUGCUAGUAGAACCCCAACUAUUCAAGUCCUCCUAGUCCCGCUAGCAGGCAGGUGAGUGACGAAGACUUUGAGAGGACCCCAGCCUCAGCCACCAGCUGACUAUGACCUCAUGGAAGGCCCCAAGCCAGAACUAUCCAGCUGAGCCACUCCUGGGUUCCUGGCCCAAAGAAAGCAGGAGAGGACCUCUGCCACUCCUUGACCUAAGGACCAAAAUCACCGCUCAUGGAGUCAUUUCUCUACUGUGACCUCCGUUUUGUCAGAAAAGGAAAGAAAGAAAGAAAAAAGUCUGGCUUUGAUUCCCUACUCACUAGCUCUGCAACAUUGGGUAUCAGAGGGAAUGGAACAAGGAUUUGAAGACCAAAGAGUCUCAAACGAAUAUUAGCAGGUAUCAUCUGGGGCUCCACAGCCUGGACAAGAGCAAAAGUAUGGUCUUCCGGAACGACAAGUAAGCAAGGAACACCUGAAACCACCCACUGCUGACCACUCAGGAAACUAUUCACUUUAAUUCUGGAUCCUGGGCUUUCCCUAUCAUUCGGGUGUGGGUUUUCCUUUCUGUGGAAAUAGAUGGCUUCACUUCAGUUCUCCUUCCUGCUGUUUCCA